rnacentral:rRNA from 1 species
UGAGGAAUUUUCCGCAAUGGGCGAAAGCCUGACGGAGCGACGCCGUGUGGGUGAUGAAGGUUUUCGGAUCGUAAAGCCCUGUCAGCGAGAACGAUAUUGACGGUACUCGCAGAGGAAGCCACGGCUAACUAUGUGCCAGCAGCCGCGGUAAUACAUAGGUGGCGAACGUUGUCCGGAAUUAUUGGGCGUAAAGCGCAUGUAGGCGGUUUUUUAAGUCAGGUGUAAAAUCCCCGGGCUCAACCCGGGUUCGCACUUGAUACUGAAGAGCUAGAGAGAUGUAGAGGAAAGCGGAACUUCCGGUGUAGCGGUGAAAUGCGUAGAUAUCGGAAGGAACACCAGUGGCGAAGGCGGCUUUCUGGACAUUUUCUGACGCUGAGAUGCGAAAGUUAAGGGAGCAAACGGG